rnacentral:lncRNA from 1 species
GGCAACUCUUGAGCAGGGCCGCCUUUUCCCUUCCCUCCAUCUUGGGAGCCCUGGUUGCCAUAACAACUGAUUGGUCCUCUCCUCUUCCUCCACCUCUGCCACAGGGCUCCAGCUUCCCUCUGGGGGCACCACUGUUCUUAAUGGCAGAGCAGAUGCAACGGCACCCCUGAGCUGCCCUCAGGGGGUCCUCAGCCUUGGAGGAGGCAGGAGACCUGGGCUAUGGAGCCACUCACGGGCCCUACUGAGAACAACUUGGUGUCCAUCACAGUCCUCUUCAGAAUGCCCAGAAUAUGGGGAUAAGAAGGUGAAACCGGCGUGUUUAUUAACACAAUGGAAUAUUCUGUGGCCAAAUCAAAGGAAGACGUUGAGGAUUCUGGUGACACCUGGAAACGUACUGCUAAGGGAAAAAAGCAGGACCACAAUGUUAUGUGGAUAUUGACUGCGACUACAUAAUGCCAGCGUGGACUUCUCAGAGAUGGAAUUUGGAGGAAUGUAAUACAGAUGCAAAUAGAGUUUUCCCCACACUGCCUUCUCCCGCGGUGUUUCCUCAUCUCUGUCAACAGCCUUGCCACCUAGUCUGUUGCCCAAACCAGAAACUUGAUUCAAACUAGACUUCUCCCUCUGCCCUCAUGCCCCGUUCCUGUUAGUCACAAGUCCUGCUGGUUCCAGCUCUGAGACAGCUUUCAGAGUACUCCUCCUCCUGUUCCCACAUUCACAUCCCCUAGGGGACUCUCUCCUCCCAGCGUGUCUGUUCCCCCGCAUGCUCCCCACUCUCUG